rnacentral:misc_RNA from 1 species
AAGUCGUAACAAGGUUUCCGUAGGUGAACCUGCGGAAGGAUCAUUAACACGUAUCCAAACGUUAAAACAACCCUGUGAACCUUCACGUGUUCUUGCAGGACAUCAAAACAGCAAUCCCGAGUAAAUCAGGCACUAAAGAAUUACAGAUUUUGAUUUUGGGAAGUUCUGUGUGUACGUGGACGCUGCAAUUGAGCGCUAGAUACAUCACCCUGGUACCCUAGAGCACAGGGUGGCGCAGUCAACGAUCGCUGUAGGUCCGACCGGCGACCGGGGUGGAGGCGAAAGCCCUUACGUCAUCCCUAUGUACCCUCCGGGACUUGGCGAAAGCUGACUCCGUCAUAAAUCGAACAACUGUUAAAAAUGGAUGUCUUGGUUCUC